CCUACGGGUGGCAGCAGUGGGGAAUAUUGCACAAUGGGGGAAACCCUGAUGCAGCGACGCCGCGUGAAGGAAGAAGUAUUUCGGUAUGUAAACUUCUAUCAGCAGGGAAGAAAAUGACGGUACCUGACUAAGAAGCCCCGGCUAACUACGUGCCAGCAGCCGCGGUAAUACGUAGGGGGCAAGAGUUAUCCGGAUUUACUGGGUGUAAAGGGAGCGUAGGCGGUUUAGCAAGUCAGAAGUGAAAGCCCGGGGCUCAACUCCGGGACUGCUUUUGAAACUGUUGAACUGGAGUGCAGGAGAGGUAAGUGGAAUUCCUAGUGUAGCGGUGAAAUGCGUAGAUAUUAGGAGGAACACCAGUGGCGAAGGCGGCUUACUGGACUGUAAAUGACGCUGAGGCUCGAAAGCGUGGGGAGCAAACAGGAUUAGAUACCCCGGUAGUC
rnacentral:rRNA from 1 species